rnacentral:rRNA from 1 species
AGUGAACGCUGGCGGCGUGCUUAACACAUGCAAGUCGAACGAGAACGGAUUAUAGCUUGCUAUAAUUGUCAGCUAAGUGGCGCACGGGUGAGUAAUGUAUAGGUAAUAUGCCUCUUACUAAGGGAGAACAAAUGGAAACGUUUGCUAAUACCUUAUACUCCUUGUUAACAGAAGUUAAUAAGGGAAAGAUUAAUUGGUAAGAGGUUAGCAUGUAUUGUAUCAGUUAGUUGGUGGGGUAAUGGCUUACCAAGACUAUAACACAUAAUUGGCUUGAGAGAAUGAUCAGUCACACUGGAACUUAGACACGGUCCAGACUCCUACGGGAGGCAGAAGUGGGGAAUAUUGCACAAUGGACGAAAGUCUGAUGCAGCAACGCCGCGCGUAGGAUGACACAUUUAGGUGCGUAAACUCCUUUUAUAUUAGAAGAUAAUGACGGUAUUAUAUGAAUAAGCACCGGCUAACUCCGUGCCAGCAGCCGCCGUAA